UACGUAGGGGGCAAGCGUUGUCCGGAUUUAUUGGGCGUAAAGCGCUCGCAGGCGGUUCGUUGCGUCGUGCGUGAAAGUCCGGGGCUCAACUCCGGAUCUGCGGUGGGUACGGGCAGACUAGAGUGAUGUAGGGGAGACUGGAAUUCCUGGUGUAGCGGUGAAAUGCGCAGAUAUCAGGAGGAACACCGAUGGCGAAGGCAGGUCUCUGGGCAUUAACUGACGCUGAGGAGCGAAAGCAUGGGGAGCGAACAGG
rnacentral:rRNA from 1 species